rnacentral:rRNA from 1 species
GAUGAACGCUGGCGGCGUGCCUAAUACAUGCAAGUCGAGCGAACAGACGAGGAGCUUGCUCCUCUGACGUUAGCGGCGGACGGGUGAGUAACACGUGGAUAACCUACCUAUAAGACUGGGAUAACUUCCGGAAACCGGAGCUAAUACCGGAUAAUAUAUUGAACCGCAUGGUUCAAUAGUGAAAGACGGUUUUGCUGUCACUUAUAGAUGGAUCCGCGCCGCAUUAGCUAGUUGGUAAGGUAACGGCUUACCAAGGCGACGAUGCGUAGCCGACCUGAGAGGGUGAUCGGCCACACUGGAACUGAGACACGGUCCAGACUCCUACGGGAGGCAGCAGUAGGGAAUCUUCCGCAAUGGGCGAAAGCCUGACGGAGCAACGCCGCGUGAGUGAUGAAGGUCUUCGGAUCGUAAAACUCUGUUAUUAGGGAAGAACAAAUGUGUAAGUAACUAUGCACGUCUUGACGGUACCUAAUCAGAAAGCCACGGCUAACUACGUG